GUGUCAGCAGCCGCGGUAAUACGAAGGGCGCAAGCGUUAAUCGGAAUUACUGGGCGUAAAGCGCGCGUAGGUGGUUUGUCAAGUUGGAAGUGAAAGCCCCGGGCUCAACCUGGGAACUGCUUUCAAAACUGGCAAGCUAGAGUAUGGCAGAGGGUGGUGGAAUUUCCUGUGUAGCGGUGAAAUGCGUAGAUAUAGGAAGGAACAUCAGUGGCGAAGGCGACCACCUGGGCUAAUACUGACACUGAGGUGCGAAAGCAUGGGGAGCAAACAGGAUUAGAAACCCCAGUAGUCC
rnacentral:rRNA from 1 species